GUUGAAUAAUACUUCGUUUUGAGUGCCAAAUUACUUGCGAGUCUAUACAACAAUUCUACAUAUGAUACGAAUACCACUAGACCAACAAAUAGCUACGAAACAAUGUGUUUUAAUGUUUUUAAAAUAUACAUUGUCAACUGUAAAACAUUUGCAAAAUUGCAUACAAACGUUUAAAAAGUUGUUUAUUUCUCAAGUUUUUAGUCGUGUUUCUACAAGAUUAAAGUGAUUAUAUGUAAACAGAAAAAUAUUUCAGUUUCAUAGCCUAAUUGUUCAUUUUUAGCAAAAAGUACAAAACCAAACACGAAACAAAAAAAACACGUCCACCUGUUAGUAGGCUGUUACAGCUCAUAGAUUGAGUAAACGGCAGGAUUCAAUUAGCUUCAGCCUUGUUUUCAUCGAUUUAAUCCUUCACAAUAAUCCUUGGCUGUCCAUAGCACUCAAAUAAAUCGAAAAGUUGACAAAAACAAAACAG